rnacentral:tRNA from 1 species
GCGUGGUUAGCUCAGCGGUAGAGCAUCGCCUUCACACGGCGGGGGUCAUUGGUUCAAACCCAAUACCACGUA